AUACCGGGCCUUUUUGGGCUUGGUAAUUGGAAUGAGGGAGAGUUAAACGGACCAUCGAGUAUCCAUUGGAGGGCAAGUCUGGUGCCAGCAGCUGCGGUAAUACCAGCUCCAAUAGCGUAUAUUAAAGUUGUUGCAGUUAAAAAGCUCGUAGUUGGACUUGUGUGCGCUGUCCGCGGGUGGCCUGCGCCCAAAAGGGCGUUUCGGUUCGGCCCUGGUGGCGCCUUGAAAUCUGCAGCUGGGGGGACGUUGGCCUUAACUGGUCGGCGACCGCACGCCGGCUGCUCGGUUACUGUGAGAAAAUUAGAGUGUUCAAGGCAGGCAUUGGGUGCAAUUGAAUACAUUAGCAUGGAAUAAUAAAAUAUGGCUCCUGCCGUAUUUUGUUGGUUUUGACUGGUGGGAGUAAUGAUUGAUAGGGACGGUUGGGGGUGCUAGUAUUGAGCGGCCAGAGGUGAAAUUCAUGGAUUCGCUCAAGACUAACUUAUGCGAAAGCAUUCACCAAGGACGUCCUCUUUAAUCAAGAACGAAAGUUGGGGGAUCGAAGACGAUCAGAUACCGUCGUAGUCUCAACCAUAAACUAUGUCGACUUGGGAUCGGCGGUAGUUUUUUCAUUAAGACACUGUCGGGACCACGGGAGAAAUCAAAGUGUCUGGACUCUGGGGGAAGUAUGGUCGCAAGGCUGAAACUUGAAGGAAUUGACGGAAGGGCACCACCAGGAGUGGAGCCUGCGGCUUAAUUUGACACAACACGGGGAAACUUACCAGGUCCAGAGAUGUAGAGGAUUGACAGAUUGAAGCUCUUUCUUGAUCACUUCGGUGGUGGUGCAUGGCCGUUCUUAGUUGGUGGAGUGAUUUGUCUGGUUAAUUCCGUUAACGAACGAGACCUCAGCCUGCUAGUGUAGUCGGCUGGAUUGCCUUUGGCGAUCCGUGAUUUCGACUUCUUAGAGGGACAAUCGACGCGCAGUCGAUGGAAGUUUGAGGCAAUAACAGGUCUGUGAUGCCCUUAGAUGUUCUGGGCCGCACGCGCGCUACACUGCUGGGCUCAGCGAGUUUUACUUGGCCGAGAGGCCCGGUUAAUCUUGUGAAAUCCCAGCGUGCUUGGGCUCGCCUCCUGCAACUGGAGGCGCCAACGAGGAAUUCCUAGUAGACGCAGGUCAUCAACCUGCAUCGAUUACGUCCCUGCCCUUUGUACACACCGCCCGUCGUUCCAUAAGAGUGAGGCAUCCGGUGAAUUCUCGGGAGAGCCUGGGCGUGGCCAGCAAUGGUCUGCUCGGGUUUGAACUUGCAUAAACUUGGUGCCUAUGAUUAGGG
rnacentral:rRNA from 1 species